rnacentral:sRNA from 1 species
UAGCUCAGUUGGUAGAGCAGUUGACUUUUAAUCAAUUGGUUAAAGGUUCGAGCGAAGCGAGACAGCAACGCUUUAGCGUUGACCCGAAGGGCGAGUCCGCAGGACGAGUAAUCCCGCACGACAGGCAC